rnacentral:rRNA from 1 species
UACGAAGGGGGCUAGCGUUGCUCGGAAUCACUGGGCGUAAAGCGCACGUAGGCGGAUUGUUAAGUCAGGGGUGAAAUCCUGGAGCUCAACUCCAGAACUGCCUUUGAUACUGGCGAUCUUGAGUCCGGGAGAGGUGAGUGGAACUGCGAGUGUAGAGGUGAAAUUCGUAGAUAUUCGCAAGAACACCAGUGGCGAAGGCGGCUCGACUGGC